ensembl:lincRNA
GUUGGUGUUAGCAUCCUUUGUGCCAGAAAGUGAUUUAGUCAUUUGUAACAGCACCAAUGAAAGUUUGCUAAUUGUUCUGUGUGGCAUUAAUCACUGCGUUUUCAAUUAGUAUUUUGUGGGUUUACUUUGCAUCAUUCAGUGACUCACCUUAAUUCCACUUUAAACGGAAAUAGGGUGAAGAUGAUGACUACUUGCCUGAUAAUGUGACCUUUGCACCCAAAGAUGUCACACCUGUGGAUUUCACACCUAAAGAUAAUGUGCAUGGUCUGGCUUACAAGGGCCUGGAUCCCCACCAGGCACUGUUUGGAACUUCGGGAGAACAUUUUAAUCUUUUCAGUGGUGGUUCUGAGAGAGCUGGCGAUCUUGGAGAAAUUGGACUGAAUAAAGGAAGAAAAUUGGGAAUUUCAGGCCAGGCUUUUGGUGUAGGUGCCCUGGAAGAGGAAGAUGAUGAUAUCUAUGCCACAGAAACUCUAUCCAAGUAUGACACUGUUCUGAAGGACGAGGAGCCUGGAGACGGACUCUAUGGCUGGACAGCACCCAGGCAGUAUAAAAACCAGAAAGAAUCAGAGAAAGACCUUCGGUACGUUGGCAAAAUUUUGGAUGGAUUUUCCUUGGCUUCUAAACCUUUAUCUUCUAAGAAAGUAAGAAAAACUUUUUUUCUUUCUUUUUUUACUGGUUUAGUUCUUAAAAUAUUUGCUGCUAUGUGAUCUGAGUUCUAUUAACAACAGGAAAGAUAAGUAAAUUCUGUUUUCAAAAAACAACAGCCUGGUUACUAGUGAUUGUCUAGAAAAACAUUCUACGUUAGAAAUAUCAGGGCCAGGCACAGUGGCUCAUGCCUGUAAUCCCAGCACUUUGGGAGGCCAAGGUGGGUGGAUCACCUGAGGUCGGGAGUUUAAGACCAGCCUGACCAACAUGGAGAAACCCCGUCUCUACUAAAAAUACAAAAUUAGCUGCGCGUGGUGUCGCAUGCCUGUAAUCCCAGCUACUAGGGAGGCUGAGGUGGGAGAAUCACUUGAACCCAGGAGGUGGAGGUUGCAGUGAGCCAAGAUCACACCACUGCACUCCAGCCUGGACAACACGUAAAACUCUGUCUCAAAAAAAAAAAAAAAAUUAAGUUGGCGAGGCGUGGUGGCUCACGCCUGUAAUCCCAGCACUUUGGGAGGCCAAGGUUGUCAGAUCACCUGAGGUUAGGAGUUUGAGACCACCCUGGCCAAUAUGGCAAAACCCCGUCUCUACUAAAAAUAGAAAAAUUAGCCAGGUGUGGUGGUGGGCGUCUGUAAUCCCAGUUACUCGGGAGGCUGAGGCAGGAGAAUUACUUGAGUCCGGAAGGUGGAGGUUGCAGUGAGCCAACAUUGUGCCACUGCACGUCUAGCCUGGGUGACAGAGCAAGACUCCAUCUCAAAAAAAGAAAAAAAAAGAAAAGGAAGCAUAGUUUAAAAAUGAUGGAGAAGCACUCACUGGUCCUUAGGAUAAAUAGUCCAGCCUGGCCCCAGGUAGCUCCCAUCCAACAAAGGUAGCAGAUACACAAAUACAGAGUCGUGGGCAAACAUCCCUAAGUGGAGAGACACAGUCCUGGGGGUUCCUGGCGCUUCUCUGGAGUAGGGCUUUGGGCAGGAACACUUCAGAAGAGGGCUGUGUUCAUCUAGCCUUUCACACACAGAUUUAGAUGGUUCUCUAGAUCUGAAUCUAGAGGUCAAACAGAACAAUGAUUUGGCAGACAGACAGAGAGAAAUACUUUCAAUCCAAGACUGGGCAUGGUGGCUUACGCCUGUAAUCCUAGCACUUUGGGAGGCCAACGCGGGCAGAUCGCUAGAGUCCAGGAGUUCGAGACCAGCCUGGGCAACAUGGUGAAACCCCAUCUCUACAAAAAAUACAUAAAAAAAAAAAAAUUAGCUGGGUGUGGUGGUAUGUGCCUGUAGUCCUAGCCUCUUGGGGGCCUGAGGUGGGAGGAUUGCUUGAGCCUGGGAGGUCCAGGCUGCAGUGAGCUGUGAUUGGCUGCUGCACUCCAGCCUGGGCAACAGAGUGAGACCCUGUCUCAAAAAAAAAAAAAGAAAUACUUUGAAUCCCAUGGAGGAUAUAGAGAAGUGGACACACUCCUCCUUUCUGCCAUGUUCCUCUGGGUUUUUGUGUGGUGGUAACAUGAGAGUGUUUUCUGGCUGAUUUGGGGGUGUGUCUCCAGAAGGUGAUGAAGCUAAGAUGAUUAAAAAAACAGGAUUUCUUGACAAUGAUAACACCACUCUUUCAUGGACUUUCAUUGUGCCAGGGGCUUGACCCAGGCUGUGUAUUUUAACAACCACCUGGGGAGCUUGGGGAACUCCAGUUAUAGCAGACUCUCUGGGGUGGGGCGCAGGCAUCAGUAUAGUUACAACUCCUCAGGCGAGUCCAGCAUGCACCUGGACCUGAGAGCCAGCGGAGAGAGGGGCCGGGAGAGAGGGGUCAGUGCUUUCAGCCACAGGGUUACUUCAUCAUGGACUUCAGCUUUCAUGUAGCUUAAAAAUCUAGAGAAUAUUUCAGUGUGAAUUUGGGGGAAAAAAUAGUAAAGAAAAGUCUAGAAAAUAGCUUAAAUAACAAACACAUGUGGAUUUGUUAGACCAAGAGCAAGGGAGACCAUUUAAUGCAGUUAUUUAACAAUAUUUAGUACUUUCCUUUACCUUGUCUGCUGUGCCAUCAUUCAUGCCUGUCAGUGUUAAAAAUCCCCAAAUUUCCCAAAUAGAUUUUCAUUUCACUUCCGUCAACUUUUAAAUUAAAGUUUUUAAAUUCCUGUCCCCACUCCCCUCCUAGCUCCUGGGCCAGGUCCUCUUGGCUCUACUCACAUUAUUCAUAGUAAUAUCUUGGAUGAAAAAAAUAGGCCAGGCGUGGUGGCUUACGCCUGUAAUUCCAGCACAUUGGGAGGCUGAGGCGGGUGGAUCAUUUGAGGUCAGGAGUUUGAGACCAGCCUGGCCAACAUGGUGAAACCCCGUCUCUACUAAAAAUACAAAAAUUAGCCAGGCAUGGUGAUGCGUGCCUGUAAUUCCUGCUACUUGGGAGGCUGAGGCAGGAGAAUUGCAUACCCAGAGCUGAGAUUGCACCACUGCACUGCAGCCUGGAUGACAGAGCAAGACUCUGUCUCAAAAAAAAAAAAAAAAAGAAAAAGAAAAAAGAAAGCCUGAAGCUUCAAUUUGCAACUGAAACAUAACUAGAAAAAAUAAUUAUGAAUUUAAAAAUAACUACAGUUAUUAUUAUUAUUAUUAAUUAUUAUUUUUGAGAUGGAGUCUCACUCUGUCACCCAGGCUGGAGUGCAGUGGUGCAAUCUCAGCUCACUGCAACCUCUGCUUCCCAGGCUCAAGCAAUUCUCCUGCCUCAGCCUUCCAAGUAGCUGGGAUUACAGGCAUCCACCACCACACCUGGCUAAUUUUUGUAUUUUUAGUAGAGACGGGGUUUCACCAUGUUGGCCAGGCUGGUCUUGAACUCUUGACCUUAAGUGAUCUGCCUACCUUGUCCUCCCAAAGUGCUGGGAUUAUAGGCAUGAGCCACUGUGCCCAGCUAUUAUUAUUAUUUAUUUUUCUUUUUUUUUUGUUUGAGACGGAGUCUCGCUCUGUUU